UAUCUCAAAAACUCAAGCAUUUAGAGCAAAUAAGACAAGAAGUUAAAAGUAUUUAUUAGGUCAAGGUCUACCUGUCCUGAAAUUUUCAGCCGAAUCGGGUAACUGGUUUUUCAGGUAUAAUGCCCCUGAAUUGAUGAUUUUAAAGACAUUUUGCAGUGUUUGGUUAUUAUCUUGAAUAUUAGUAUAGGUACAGAUUAACUGUUUAUAGCAA
rnacentral:lncRNA from 1 species